UUGGAAAAUGAAACUAAAUAUAUUGAUUAAUGUAACUUACAAAACCGAAACUGGAAUUGAACAGGAAACAGGAACCGGAACAAGUUGCUGCAAUACAGAGUUGAACAGAAUGCAAAAGAAGUAAAUUGCUUUUCUCUUAAUUCUCUAAAUUUUUUUGCGUGAAAAAUAAUCUAACUAAAGCCAUCUAUUUAUAGGCUGAGAAAACAGAUUUUUUUUUGUUCCUGAGUAGUGGGUUGUUGGCGUGAGAAUAGGAAGGGAUAGAGCUGCGUGAAAAUUGGAAACGAUAGUUGCUUGAAGAUAGCAUCACGUGAUGAUGAUCUGUUGUUAACAUAUCUUCUUUUGCCUUG
rnacentral:lncRNA from 1 species